CUUCUUGAUGUGGGUGUUUAGUACGACAAUCUUUCCUCUUAACACUGCUUCAGCUGCAUCCCAAAGACUCUGCAUUUCUAUACAACAAUGAGCAAGCUGAGAGAUAAGUCAAGAAUGCCAUUCAUUUACAACAGCCACAAACAGAACACAAUACCUAAGAAUACAGUUAACCAAGGAGGUGAGAGAACUCUACAAGGAGAACUACACUUUUGAAAGACAUCUAAGAUGACGUAAAUAAAUGGAAAAACAUUCCAUGCUCAUGAAUUGGAAGAGUUAAUAUCAUUAAAAUGGCCAUGCUGCCCAAAGCAAUCUGCAGAUUCAAUGCAAUUCCUAUCAAACUGCCAAUGUCAUUUUUCACAAAAUUAGAAAGAAACUAUUCCAAAAUUCAAACAAAACAAAAAAAGACACGAAAUAGUCAAAGCAAUCCUAAGUAAUAAGAACAAAGCUGGAGGCAUCACAUUACCUGACUUCAAACCAUACUACAAGAUCGCAAUAACCAAAACAGCAUGGUACUGGUACUAAAACAGACACAGAGACCAAUGGAACAGAAUAGAGAGCUCAGAAAUAAAGCUGCAUACCUACAACCAUCUGAUCUUUGACACAGGCAAUAAAAAAACAGGGGAAAGACUCCCUAUUCAAUAAAUGGUGCUGGGACAGCUGGCUAUCCAUAUGUAGAAUAAAACUGGAUCCGUAUCUAUCUCCCUAUAAAAAAAUUAACUCAGGAUGGAUGAAAUACUCAAAUGUAGGACUAUAAAAAUCCUAGAAGAAAACCUAGGAAAUACCAUUCUCAAUAUUGGCCUUGACAAGAAAUUUAUGUUUAAGACCUCAAAAGUAAUUACAACAAAAACAAAAACUGUCAAGUGGGACCUAAUUAACUAAAGAGCUUCUGCAUGGCAAGAGAAACAAUCAAAGGAGUAAACAGACAAUCUACAGGGUGAAGGGAAAUAUUCACAAACUAUGCAUCUGACAAAGGUUUACUAUCCAGAAUCUAUAAGAAACAAACAAAUCAACAAACAAAAUCAAAUAACCCCAUUAAAAAUUUUGUGAGCAAAGGACAUGAACAGACACUUCUCUCUCUCUCUCUCUCUUUUAUUUUUUUGAGACACAGUCUCACUCUAUCACCCAGACUGGAGUGCAGUGGUGCAAUCAUGGCUCACUGCAAC
rnacentral:lncRNA from 10 species